UACGGAGGAUCCAAGCGUUAUCCGGAAUCAUUGGGUUUAAAGGGUCCGUAGGCGAUCUUGUAAGUCAGUGGUGAAAGCCCAUCGCUCAACGGUGGAACGGCCAUUGAUACUGCAGGACUUGAAUUGAUUAGGAAGUAACUAGAAUAUGUAGUGUAGCGGUGAAAUGCUUAGAGAUUACAUGGAAUACCAAUUGCGAAGGCAGGUUACUACUAAUGGAUUGACGCUGAUGGACGAAAGCGUGGGUAGCGAACAGG
rnacentral:rRNA from 1 species